GACGAAGGAUGCAAGCGUUAUCCGGAUUCAUUGGGUUUAAAGGGUGCGUAGGCGGGCCUAUAAGUCAGUGGUGAAAGCCCUCAGCUUAACUGAGGAACUGCCAUUGAUACUGUAGGUCUUGAGUACAGAUGAUGUUGGCGGAAUAUGACAUGUAGCGGUGAAAUGCAUAGAUAUGUCAUAGAACACCGAUUGCGAAGGCAGCUGACAAAACUGUAACUGACGCUGAGGCACGAAAGUGUGGGGAUCAAACAGG
rnacentral:rRNA from 1 species